GACGAACGCUGGCGGCGUGCUUAACACAUGCAAGUCGAACGGAAAGGCCCUGCUUUUGUGGGGUGCUCGAGUGGUGAACGGGUGAGUAACACGUGAGUAACCUGCCCUUGACUUUGGGAUAACUUCAGGAAACUGGGGCUAAUACCGGAUAGGAGCUCCUGCUGCAUGGUGGGGGUUGGAAAGUUUCGGCGGUUGGGGAUGGACUCGCGGCUUAUCAGCUUGUUGGUGGGGUAGUGGCUUACCAAGGCUUUGACGGGUAGCCGGCCUGAGAGGGUGACCGGCCACAUUGGGACUGAGAUACGGCCCAGACUCCUACGGGAGGCAGCAGUGGGGAAUAUUGCACAAUGGGCGGAAGCCUGAUGCAGCAACGCCGCGUGCGGGAUGACGGCCUUCGGGUGGUAAACCGCUUUCGCCUGUGACGAAGCGUGAGUGACGGUAAUGGGUAAAGAAGCACCGGCUAACUACGU
rnacentral:rRNA from 1 species